rnacentral:rRNA from 1 species
CCUACGGGUGGCAGCAGUGAGGAAUAUUGGUCAAUGGGCGGGAGCCUGAACCAGCCAAGUCGCGUGAGGGAAGACGGUCCUAUGGAUUGUAAACCUCUUUAGGCGGGGAGCAAUGCCGCGCACGCAUGCCCGGAGGGAGUGUACCCGCAUAAUAAGCAUCGGCUAACUCCGUGCAAGCAGCCGGGGUAAUACGGGGGAUGCGAGCGGUCUCGGAAUUUAGUGGGUUAAAAGGGUGCGUUGGGGGAUGUUUAAGUCAGGGGUAAAUUGUCGGGCCUCAACCCGGACCGGCCGUUGAAACUGGGGAACUUGAGUGGGCGAGAAGACAGGGGAAUGCGAGGUGUAGGAGUGAAAUCCAUAGAUAUCAGGCAGAACUCCGAUUGCGAAGGCGACAAACCGGCGCACGACUGACGCUGAGGCGCGAAAGCGUGGGGAUCGAACAGGAUUAGAUACCCUUGUAGUC